rnacentral:rRNA from 1 species
GACGAACGCUGGCGGCGUGCUUAACACAUGCAAGUCGAACGGAAAGGCCCUGCUUUUGUGGGGUGCUCGAGUGGCGAACGGGUGAGUAACACGUGAGUAACCUGCCCUUGACUUUGGGAUAACUUCAGGAAACUGGGGCUAAUACCGGAUAGGAGCUCCUGCUGCAUGGUGGGGGUUGGAAAGUUUCGGCGGUCGGGGAUGGACUCGCGGCUUAUCAGCUUGUUGGUGGGGUAGUGGCUUACCAAGGCUUUGACGGGUAGCCGGCCUGAGAGGGUGACCGGCCACAUUGGGACUGAGAUACGGCCCAGACUCCUACGGGAGGCAGCAGUGGGGAAUAUUGCACAAUGGGCGGAAGCCUGAUGCAGCAACGCCGCGUGCGGGAUGACGGCCUUCGGGUUGUAAACCGCUUUCGCCUGUGACGAAGCGUGAGUGACGGUAAUGGGUAAAGAAGCACCGGCUAACUACAUG